rnacentral:lncRNA from 1 species
AGCCUCGCGGCGGGGGAAACCCGAGCUCCCAACAAAACGGUUCCAUCUUUGGCUAGGCCUUUGGUAUUUCAAGGCGCUGCCGGUGGGGAGAGAUGCCGCGUGCCUGAGAGGCUCUGGGAGAUGUUAUGUGGUCAACAGGGACUGAGGCUCUUUAAGCCCUUAAAUCUCUAAGGGCUAAAUCUCCUUCCUGAUAUUCGCCCCCAAACCGGCACCAAAGAAGGCCCAGAGAGGUUUAACAACUUCCUCAGAAUCACACAGCUUCCAAAUGGUUGGGUUGGGUUUACAUUUAGGCGGUCUUGCUCCAGAGCCAGUGCUCCUAACCUUUGCAAGCCACGAACCUCAAGAAAGUGGAGAAGGAAACGCUGGGAAAUCUGGAAGUCAGACAUGGCAAGUUUUUCUCACUGUAAGAAGAGGACAAUAGCCUAUGAUCUACAGUGCCCAUUCCAACUCAGAGAAUCUUUACAUCUGGAGAUCUAUAGCAGGGCUAUCCCUAGUGACAUGCGUGAAGAAGCUUGGAAAUGGUGCUGGGUAGGAGCUGAGUGUGCAGAAUGUGGAAAGGCAUUCUAAACCAAAGGAAGAACACGAGUAAAGAUGAUGAAGCAGGGAUAAGGCUAAAAUGAAAUUUGUGAUCUGAUCCACAUACAAGCACAGUGUAGUACAGCUGGAAUAUAGAGAAGAGCUUGAAGACUUAUGAGCAACUAUCCCGGUACUCUUGGAGGCUCUGCAACCACAGUUUGAGAAACUCCGCGUUCAAAGUUAAAAACUGUCACCUGAAUAGUUAAUAACAUCAAAGAUUGUGAAAGCAAGUAUAAAUAACACAGAGAUUAAAAUAAUGAGGCAGGAUCAGAAAAAAACAAGAAGGAAGAUCUCCCAUAGAUUUUCAAGGUGCUGAGAAAACAGCUUCUAGACAUAUCUCGAAAGCCAAGUUUCUGAGAUGUAAUCAGAAAGCUGUAGUGGAAGGAAAUUUGAACCAGAAGACUGCAGUCCUGUCUAUGAACGUUAAACCUGUGUGGCUUAGGAAACGAGUCUAACCUCGUCUGAGCCUCAGUUUGUUCACCUAAAAGAUGGAGAUGAGAGCUCAUUUGUCUCAUUCUCAGGGGUUAUGGUGGCCAUCCAGACAUAAAGAAAUUAGAACGUUCAUUCAUCUGCAGAUGCUCACACAUUCCUAC